rnacentral:rRNA from 1 species
UGGGGAAUAUUGCACAAUGGGCGCAAGCCUGAUGCAGCCAUGCCGCGUGUAUGAAGAAGGCCUUCGGGUUGUAAAGUACUUUCAGCGGGGAGGAAGGGAGUAAAGUUAAUACCUUUGCUCAUUGACGUUACCCGCAGAAGAAGCACCGGCUAACUCCGUGCCAGCAGCCGCGGUAAUACGGAGGGUGCAAGCGUUAAUCGGAAUUACUGGGCGUAAAGCGCACGCAGGCGGUUUGUUAAGUCAGAUGUGAAAUCCUCGGGCUCAACCUGGGAACAGCAUCUGAUACUGGCAAGCUUGAGUCUCGUAGAGGGGGGUAGAAUUCCAGGUGUAGCGGUGAAAUGCGUAGAGAUCUGGAGAAAUACCGGUGGCGAAGGCGGCCCCCUAGACGAAAACUGACGCUCAGGUGCGAAAGCGUGGGAAGCAAACAGG